GAGUUAGUGAAGGACAGGGAAGCCUGGCAUGCUGCAGUCCAUGGGGGUCUCAAAGAGUCGGACACAACUGAGCAACUGAACUGAACUGAAGAAUAAAAUGAUAAUAAACAGACAUCAUGUGUCUCCAGCAGUCAUGUGGUUAUCCUCACUAACUUCUUUGCCACCGUCCCUCACAGCAGCAGGUCAGACCCUUAUCCUCCCUGGGUUCCCAUGAGGACUGGUGUGAGUGAUGGUGUAAAGUGCAAGGGCAGCGACAAGCAGAGGGGCACAUGGAGUGACUUCGGUCAGGAGGCCGUCGUGGUGGCCUCCGCGGGCCUCUCUGCUGAUCCUGCCCUGACUCACCCACUAAGGCCUCUCUCUGGAUGGCUCUUGUGCUUUCCCAGGCCCCAGCCUUCUCUUCUGUCCUGAGGAAGAAUUCCAAGACUCUCAAGAAUAGAAGAGAUUUUAGAGGCCGUCCCACCCAACAUCCUCUUGGAUGGACAGGGCUUAGAUUUCCCAGCUGCUGCUUGUGCACGCAGGACAGGGCGCUUGCUAUUUCUGGAGGCCCCCUGUUUGUUGGGGGGACAGUUUUAGGGACAUGUGGGUAUUGAGCUGAAUCUGUGAAUUCUAUCCUUUGGCUCUCCCAGGAGCCCCCUCAGUCCCUUUGGAGAGGUGAACUGGCUGGCCCCUGCUACCCCCUUCUCCCCUUCCCUGGCCCUGUAGCCUCCCUCCCUCUGGUCCUUGGCCCUGGUCCUCCAGUUCUCAGUCUGGAUUCCUGGGGGAGCCCCACUAGAAUGAGAGCUUUGCCAUGGCCCCAGGCCCCAGUCACCCCUGGGGUGACUCUUGAACUUUUCUUUUUUUGUUAUAAAAGUUGUUAACUUGCUUUGGUUCUCAAGUUGAAUAAAAGGCAUCAAGCA